rnacentral:lncRNA from 1 species
CUUUAACGGCUUUGCAUCCAGCUUAAAUGCCAAAGGGCUGAACUAUGGUAAUUUGAUAUGCGGAAUAUGCUGACGGCGGCCAAUCACUCGUACAGUUGUGCCAUCGAUGCUCUGAGAUGCAAAUGUAACAGAAUUCUGUUACUAACAGCUCGGGCGACCCAAUUAGGUGUUACAUCUUGCCACUUCCCACGACAUUUUCUUACAAUUUACCCAUAACAAAUUGCCUCUUGGCAUAAUGAGAGCUGCCUCUCAAACACGCCCGCAAAUGGGGCAUUCUCAUU